ensembl:lncRNA
CAACAUGAGGCCCCGGAGGGUCUGACAUCUGAGACGGAGCUCCGGCAGUUACAAAACUACAAUAUAUUCCAAAAGAAAUAUUGAUUCACAUUUGAAUAUUUAUUCGAAAAAGAAAAAAAUAAUAUAUAUAUAUAGAUAUAUUUAAAUAUAUAAAAUAAUAAAUAUAAUAAUAAUAAAUAAAACAUAAUAUAUUAAAUAAUAAAAUAGAAAAGACUCUAUUUAAUGUAUAUAUUAAUUAUGACUAUUUGGGUUAAUCCUCUGAUUAAUGGGGUUUUAAGGGGAACCAUUAAUGCGUUUAUUAUUCUCUUAGAAAAUAAUAUCAGAAACAACUGAUUUUAACUAUUGAUUUAACUUUCAGAGAUUAAACAAAUAAAUCAAAGUAAUAAUAUAAUGAAUCAAAUAAUAAUAUCCUUCUUAGUAAAUACUUUGACUUACUAUGACUUUACUAUGACUGUGUGUGUGUGUGUGUGUGUGUGCGUGUGUGUGUGUGUGCGUGUGUGUGUGCGUGUGUGUGUGUGUGCGUGUGUGUGCGCGUGUGUGUGUGUGUGUGCGUGUGUGUGUGUGUGUGUGUGUGUGUGUGUGUGUGCGUGUGUGUGUGUGUGUGUGUGUGUUUAAAACAGCAGGGGGCAGCAGAGGUUCAAGUUUUCAAAAGCUCCAGAAAGUUCUGUUAGACUCACUGAGGUGAACGUUAAGUGAUGAAGAUGAGGUGAUAAAAGUUAAGUGAUGAAGAUGAGGCGAUGGAGGAGCCUCAAUGCGUCCUUACAUAGCUCCUUUAGCAGAGGAACCACCGGAGCAUCCUUUGCCAAAGGAAAGGAGAUAAUUCCGUCCCACACACUGUAACAGCACAUGAAGGCACCUCAGACGCUUCUCUGUAGCCGCUGCAGACUGACGUCACCAACAUGCGUCUCCGUCCAUCACAACUAGCAGCUCAAGGUCAAGGAAAGGUGGUUAGGAAUAGUGGUUAGGAAUAGACGUUAGGAGGCCACCAAUGUGCUAUUCGGAUCCCGUCCAGACCUUCCAGCAGAGGACGCCGUUUCUCUCUUACGCCUCUGGUGACAUCACUUCCUGCCUGCGGCUCCUCCCAUCCAUCCAGCAGCGACCGGUUUGAGGCUCUUCUCCAUGACGCAAGAGGCCCCUCCAGUGUGUCCACAACAACAAAGAUGAGAGGGGAUUACACGCCAACAACGGCGGAGGAAUGAAGGCUGCGGGCCUCCGUCUGAUGGGUGGAGACGAUGACCUCAUCCGCUCGUCGUGUCUCAACGUCUCCGACUCUCUGCUCACAUUCCUGCAGAGUUGAGUUUCUCUGCAGCAAGAGGGAGAGGAAGAGGGAGAGGAAGAGGGAGAGGAAGGAGAGGAAGAGGAAGGAGAGGAAGAGGAAGGAGAGGAAGAGGAAGGAGAGGGAAAGGAAGGAGAGGAAGAGGAAGGAGAGGAAGAGGAAGGAGAGGGAAAGGAAGAGGGAGAGGAAGGAGAGGAAGGAGAGGAAGAGGAAGGAGAGGAAAAGGAAGAGGGAGAGGAAGAGGGAGAGGAAGGAGAGGAAGAGGAAGGAGAGGGAAAGGAAGAGGCGAGGCAUUAGCAUCCAAACAUUUAAUAUUAGCCAGUAUGAAUAUUUUAUAAUAAUAAUAAAUAAAUUAUACCAAUAAAAAUGAUAAUAACAUUGUGAUAAUAAUUACGUUAUUAUAUCUCUAUCUGUAUCUACUAUCAAGUCAGCUCAGAAAGUACAAUUGAAUCAUUUAAUUAUAUCUUGAUGGUAAUAUCACAACGACCACUUCUACUUCUAAACAAUGAUACAAAUAACAACAAUAACAAUGAUAAUAAUGUGAGGAUUGAUCUGUGUAGAAAUGUUUCAGCUGCUUCCCUUGAUUCCUGCUGAGUGAGCAGAAGAAAACCGACGUUUUACAUUCAUCUUUGUUUCAUAACUAUUUCAUCACAGCAGAAAGUUCCCACAUGUUCAAAUGCUCGGCUGAAUUCCUGUGAUGUGAUGAGGACUAUUGAGUCAGACUUCCUCCUUCUCUCUCCUCUUAUCUUCACAGGGUGGGGAUACCUUCUGAGGACUGAUGGUAGACAUGAGUGUCCUUUUAACCUGUUGACCUGAUAUGUGAAUCUCUUCACUCACGUUGGACCCACUGGAAAUAAAUGAGCUGACGGUAUUUCUUUAUUCUCUGUGGAGACAAUCGUAGUGACUAUGUUUUAAAGCCCUUCAUGCCCACAUGUGAUCCAACAGUGUCAAAAUAAAAGCCCUUCAUGCCCACAUGUGAUCCAACAGUGUCAAAAUAAAAGCCCUUCA